GUAAAUAAUAAAAAUACACGAAAGAAACAAACAAAUCAAAGCGGCAGCCCCACGGAAAACCACACUGUGUACAUCAGGAAAAUGUGGGAGCGGAAAGCAGAAAGACAUAGAAGGAUGUAAGGGUGAAGAGAGCCAAUCAGAGGGCCGGGAUAGUCCCACUGGGAUGUACGGGUGACGGUCUCGACCCUUCGAGACCGUCUCGCGGAGACCAAGUUGACAAAACAGUGGGCGUUUGCAUUUUCGUUGUUCAUUGCUUUCGUGCAAAAUUGCGAACAUCAUGCAAAGGUUUCAGGAAUUAAUGUUGGUCGCAUCCAUGUAAUCAGUGAUUGCACGCCCAGAAAAAGAAAAAGAUGGUGUAAAAACAUGAAAUAAGUAAUGAAGAAUUUUUAAAACAUCUAUAACAAUUGUGGCAAAGGAAAGAGUGCAUGCUGUUUGGCAUCAUCACACUGGCUGAACGAGUUGUCUUUUCCAAUGAAAUGUCACAGAUAGAAUCUAUUAACUGGAAACAAUAGAAGAAGUCUCUUCCAAAAGACACCUGUUGUUAUAUCCAAUGGCUGUCUAUCCUGCAAACAAAAGAAAUAAGAGGUACAACAUUUCAAAAAUCAAAUCUAAAAAAACAAACUAAAAUGAAACGGCUUGAUCUCUAAAAUAUAAAGAAGGCAGAGAUAUGA